ACCUCAUGUCAACUUAAUUUAUUAAGAUGUCCAAUGCUAAUUGUUUUUUGAUGUUUUUUCAUAUGUAGUGACAUACAGAGCAUUUAGCACUGAUACUUAGCACCUGCUACUUUCAUUAUCUAGUUUUUGACCACAUAAAGAAACUUAGGGCAGUGGUUCAGUCCCUUCUUAAUUACAAACCUUUGCUGGCAGUCAGCAGGAUCACUCUGAGAUUUAAAAUAGGAUUAUAGGUGAACUAUUGCAAAGACUGCAGAAUGUUGCCCAAAUCCUUAAAACUGCUGAUUCCAUUCUUGAAUUUCUUCUCAAAAUAUGGCUAUGGGCCACAAUUGCUCAGCAGAGAAGGUUAGUUUUCACAAGGCUAAAGAUUUACAGAUGCUCCCUCAUAUAACACAGUAAGGUUCCCUUGGUAACCUGGAUUUUCUGCAGUAAAGAAGGGUUGUGCUGAAACAGCGCCUCAGCUCCCUGUUUGAGAAAAUGCAGACAAAAGGAUUGAUUCCUGCUUGGGCAAAACUCAUCCAGACAGCAGCUGUUAGAAAUCCCCCUGGUACUACAGGCCCUCUUGCAAAAACUCUCCAAUAACAGGCCACCAGUCCAAACGGUCGGAUGAUACCACAGACACCACAAAGCCUGACACGUGGGUGCUUAGGAAUGCCUCUAGAAUCAUGCAUUUUCUUAUUUUACCAUUUCCGAAGAGUUUUGUUUGUGGAGGUGAUAUAAAAUUUUAAGCAACAACUUCCCAGUUCUCCUACCCAAAACUAGCAGACACGCUUUCAUUAAUUCCCAAUGUAAAACGUCUGCUUCUUUUUCUGCAUGCUUUUUGCUUUAUAAUAAUCUGUUAAUGAAACAAAAAAUAAAAAUCUUCUCUACAGUAAUAAUCUGAUCUUGAGACAGCAGUAAAAUA
rnacentral:lncRNA from 1 species